UAAGCCUAAUGUCAAAAACAUCACCAAAUUUAUGUCCUUCCAGUUUUUGUUCCAUUUCUUCCCAGAAUAGCAGCAGACUUUUUUCAGUGGGACACUCACAAGAGUGGAGACUUGAUCUCCCAGUCGGUGCUGAUGUUGGCGGUGCCGUGGUUAGUCAGUGCCUUGAUCCCCACCCCAGGCACAAAGGCUAAUGAAGUAUUUGGAAAUGAAAAGGCAUUGAUUUUUAUGCUGUAGAACAAGAAACAGAGAGGCAAUCACUCAGAGGAAGGUUUACUCAUGGGUAGGCUGAGAAGACAAAAUGAGAUCAUCUAUGCAUAACUGUGGCACAGGAGAAAGACAUUGUUCUGAACCAAGGCUUGACAAACGGAUUUGAUGGCUGAGCUGCCGUGGCCAUACUGGACCAUGAGACAACUUUGAGGACAGAAGCCAGAAGUAAGGAUGGUGGGGCAGAGAAAUACAAGAAGCCUGGGUUCUGAUGAAAUCAUGGGACUUCCAAAGGAUUUCUCUAGUCUUACUUUUGAGCUUCUUAUGUGUGGCCUAUUUCUACCUCUGAAACCUUAACCAAACUUUACUAAAGUAAGGAAAGCCUUG